GACCGAAGUUGGAUGCUCAACCAGCUGAGCCACCCAGGCACCCCUCCCCGACAAAUCAUAUUUUUAAAGACCUCAAAGAGCAGUGGAAAACAGAGAAGGAAGAGCCCAUUCUGGGUGAGCUGGGAUCGUUGGUCAUUUUUUCCCUGGGUCAUUUGUGAAGUCUGGUCAUAGGCUAACGACUGGGCUUGGUUUACACUGAACUGUUGAGGCCACUCAGGCUAUUGUUACAGGCUAGAAUCUAGAUAUGAGGCUCUUUUACCCAUGGGAUAUUUGGUAAGUGCUGGGGUAGACUGGGGGCAGGAGAUAGGGGAGGGCCUGGCUGGGGCCUUGGCUGGAAAGGCAGGGUAAGAUCUGCAUUCUCUUACUGUUUAGAAGGCUGAGUCCCGCUAAAGGGAAGGGCCUGCAACAAACACAAGGCAGAUCUCAUUCUCAUGGUAAUUAAAAACAGGGGUGGACAGAGUCUGACUAAAGUGGCAACUCACUUCAACUCAGCUCCAUUCUGAUUGGGUUGAGGCAUCAUCCCUUUAAGCUAUGUUGCCUUCCAGAGGAUGGGUAAACCCUCCGGGGGAAAUAUAAUUAACUUGAACUUCUGUGAUUCUUUUAUACACAAUAUUUGGCAUAUAAUAGAACAUUCUAAGUCAUCGAAAAAGCAGGUUAUCGUAGACUGAACAUUGGCCUCCCCAAGAUAUGUCUGUCCUAAUUCCUGGAGCCUGUGAAUGUAGAGACUUUGCAGAUGUGUAAGGAUUUUAAGAUGGAGACAUUAUCCUGGUUUAUCCAGGGGGACCCAAUAAAAGCACAGGGGUCCUUAUAAGGAAGCAGGAGGGUCGUAGUCAGUAGAAGGAGGCAUUAAGAUAGAAGCAGCAAGUUGGAGUUAUGGGGAGACAGGAUCACAAGUCAAGGAAUGCAGGUCCCCCGAGAAGCUGGAAAAGACAAAGAACUGGAUGCUUCCUUGGAGCUUCCAGAAGCAACCAGCUCUGCCAAUACCUCGACUUUAGCCCCACGAGACUGAUUCUGGACCUCUGACCUCUGGAACUGUAAGAUAAUAAAUCAUCGUUGUCUUAGACCACUACAUUUGUGGUCAUUUAUUAUAGCAGCAAUAGGAAACUGAUACAGCAGGGCAAUGCACCUGAUCAUCAAGAGGGGAAAAGUGAGCCAACAAAAGUGGACCCACAUCUGAUCUGGAUGUCAAGGAUUUAAGAUAACUAUUUAAAUAUGUUAAAGAAAAUAGCGGGGGCAACGGACAAAAUGGUGACCAGAUGGGGAAUUUCAACAGAGAACUGGAAUCUGUAAAAGCCAAAGGAACAUUCCAGAAUGGACACAUGUAACAUCUGAAAUAAAGAAUUCCGAUGGGCUGAGCGGCAGAGUUGGACACAGCAGAGGCAAGAGGUCCACUGUCCACUCCUCUCUGAACCAGGAAGUUGGAUUUGCCGAUGGCCUGCAUCAGCGGCAGAUCAACGUGGAGGGAUAGAGAGCAGUUUCCAUAACCACCCCUUCCCUUUGCCCUUCCAGUGAUUCUCUGCAUCACCAGCUGUCCUACAAGUCAACUCAAUUCUGACUCUCUCUGCCUGGAGAUGACAUCGGAUCCCACGGGUUAAGGUGAAGUCCUACAAGACUGUCCCACUCUUCAGAUGCCAAUCAAAUAAUAACAAAAAGAAAUCUAGAAGAGCUUUCGGUAUUUGGAAACUAAGCAACGUGCUACUAAAAAAUUCACAAGUCAAAGAAAAAUCCACAAGGAAAAAUUUAAAAUAUUUUAAACUAAAAGAGAAUGAAAAUACAACAUACUUGCAGUUUUCCUUUCCACGGUUUCAGCUACUCGUGGUCAACUAUGGUCUGCAAGUGGAUGAUCCCCAUCAGAAGGUCAGCAGCAGCCUAACGCUAUGUCACAAUGUCAAUGUCGUUCACCCCCCCUUCAUCUCCUCACUUUCCUUAUUGGCGUAAAGAAAGGCUAUUCACAACUCAUCACCUGUGCUAGGUGUCUCUAGGUCCUGGCCGAAUGCUCGUGCUCUGUCCAAUAUCCUCUGUGUGAGCCGAUCCCUUUCUAAUUCAGGUUGGGGAAAAAAGACAAACUUA